AUUGAACGCUGGCGGCAGGCCUAACACAUGCAAGUCGAACGAGUGGCGGACGGGUGAGUAAUGUAUGGGAAACUGCCCGAUGGAGGGGGAUAACUACUGGAAACGGUAGAUAAUACCGCAUACCCUCGGAUGUGCCCAGAUGGGAUUAGCUGGUAGGUGAGGUAACGGCUCACCUAGGCGACGAUCCCUAGCGGGUCUUAGAGGAUGACCAGCCAAGCUGGGACUGAGACACGGUCCAGACUCCUACGUGAGGCAGCAGUGUGGAAUAUUGCACAAUGGUCGCAAGCCUGAUGCAGCUAUGCCGGUUGUAUGAAGAAGGCCUUCGGGUUGUAAAGUACUUUCAGCGGGGAGGCGUUACCCUCAGAAGAAGCACCGGCUAACUCCGUGCCAGCAGCCGCGGUAAUAC
rnacentral:rRNA from 1 species